ACCGACUAAAUAAAUGAUGAUGAAAGCGUGGCUUGGCGCGGAGGAGGGGGGGAGAAAAGGAACGGAUGGUGGCAGGCAGUUAGGAGUCCUGGGCGAGGAGUGCGCGCAACGAAUGAGAUAAGAGAAAGAGAGAAGGGAGAGCGUGACCAGCAUGGCAGUGCGCGGGCACGAAAACAGGAGGCCAUAUGCAUGAGUGAUUGACCCUUUCACUCGAGUCGAGAGGUGGGUGUCCUCCCACUCAAUGGCGUGGGGUUGCGGUGGGUGACACAGAGAGGGACGCAGCCCGCAUGCGCUUGCAUUACAUUUUUCAUUAAUGUAAUGCAAGGCGACAGAUGCGCCCAAGCAACGUGACGAGAGAAACGGAGAGGGAAGGAAAGAUAUUCAGCCUGACUGCAAAUGCGAUUGGGCACAAAGGUGACCUGUAUGCUCAUACUCCAAAAACAGAAGGCCACCACGCCAGUCACAGCCACAUUCAAUCAAGCUAUUCAAUUCUCAGACACCUUUUCACCUCUAUAACAUCCAGAAAAAAAAAAACCAUCUACAAAGCAGCAAUGAUGUGGUACAAGCAAUACAGCCCCAUCAACACCACAGUAGGCCUACCAGGCUACCAGUAAUACCGCUAUAUUAUAUACCCUUUACCUGCCACAUCUGCAGCUUGAACCUUUCAGUCCAUAUACUUAAGGCACACAGACAGUGUGACUAGCGUGGCAUGCUCAUUUGCUAAAGUUUAUCUGCCACGAGAGCUGGGAUUAGUGGGGAAUGAAAGGCACCUAUUGAACUUUGACUUGGCAGUAAACACUUCUCACAACCUCCCUCAUCUUAUCCUUCUUUCACACCAUGGCCACCUAAUGUGUGUGUGUGUGUGUGUGUGUACUCUACCAUAGCAAAUGAGGGAGGGGGGGGGCAGUCAAAUCCACCCAGACAGUGGAUGAGAUAUGAGACACAAUAAACAGGGAUGGUGAGGGAUGAGAGGAGAGAUAGAGAGCUGCAACUGCCUUCCUAGCAACAGAGCAGAAAAUGCAGAGUUGCCUUAGCAACACAAUAUGUUUUUUUUUUUUUUAAAGGACAACAUCCUGGUUAUAUUAUUAUUGUUAUUAUUAUUAUUGUUAUAACAACACCACGUUUUUAUUUAAAAACGUUUACUCAAAACACCCAGUCACUUUAGCUUGUCAGGAUAAUCAGCAAAAACAACAAGACAAUAAGAUCACACAUUGAAACAGCACACGAGGCUAUCGCCCAUGACCUGUCAAGACAUGGAGUCAGGUGGUCAAUGACAUUACAUCGCACCGUUAUCACCUGAAGCAUCGCCGCUUUGUUGAUUUAACCACGUCCCAUGGUUUGACAGGGGAGAGUUUGCAUGUUAUCGAUAGAGUCAUCUUUAUCCAUCCACCAGAGUGACAAUAACAGAUGCAAGUGUCAAAGCGUGGACAACGUGGGGCCAGAGGAUAAACACACUAUAGACUUCUGUGGGAUAUCAACCCAUGGUAGUCCUGGUGAUGUGACCACUGCACUAAUUCAAAUGUCGAACCACAUGACCGGUAUUGAUUUGUAGGCUACGUGUGCCUUUUUUAAAUGGAUUUUUUUUAAAUUGAUGUGGUUCUGUCUUUGAGCUGUUCUUGUUUAUUAAUGUUCUGUAUUAUGUCAUGUAUCAUGUUUUGUGUGGACCCCAGGAAGAGUAUCUCCUGCUAUUGCAACAGCUAAUGGGGAUCCUAAUAAAAUACAUUCCAAAAUACCUGAAUUGCCCUUUCCUGUUACAGGCAGAGACAUUUAUGUAUAGGCUAGAUAUGUGUACAUAUGGAUAUACACCGAGUGUACAAAACAUUACGGACACCUGCUCAUUCCAUGACAUAGACUGACCAGGUGAAUCCAGGUGAAAGCUAUGAUCCUUUAUUGAUGAUACUUAUUCAAUCCACUUUAAUCAGUGUAGAUGACUCAAUAUAAGGAAGGUGUUCCUACUGUUUGGUAUACUCAGUGUAUACAGCUAUUUUUGGUUCCUUUUGUUUUUCCUCUUUCCUGUCCCUGAUGUUGACAUUGUCAACAAAUCUCAGAAAGAUUCCUUCCUCUGCCGGUCGACAUUUGGCGCCUUUUUCUCCCCC
rnacentral:lncRNA from 1 species